CCGCUGAGGGGAAAAUGCCGGUUAAAAAGACAGACCACCACCCCCUGCUGUCCACCGGAGCUGGGGGAGCUGGGGCUGAGCGAGGUCCUUGUAACCUGUCUGCCACAGGUUUGUUACAGAACCGGACAGUUUGACUCCUGAAGCAGACCAAUGGGACCACACAAGCCUGAGUUUCUGAACUUUGGGUAAAGGUGUGGAGUGGAAUCCUUUCCUGACUAGCCCUGG